UGAUAUUUUAUUCUUAACAAUUUUAUUACAUUUAAAUUCCUCUUAAUAGAUACGAGAUGGAGAAGGAUCGUCUGGCUGAUCAGUCUUUUCGUUUGGAGAAAAUAAAAUCUCUUGUGCAGAGAUUUAAUGCUAUUACUGAUGCCAUGAAUAUGACAGUAAAAGAACUGAAAAGACUGUCCA